rnacentral:rRNA from 1 species
UGGGGAAUAUUGCACAAUGGGGGAAACCCUGAUGCAGCGACGCCGCGUGAGCGAAGAAGGUUUUCGAAUCGUAAAGCUCUGUUCUAUGAGAAGAUAAUGACGGUAUCAUAGGAGGCAGCCCCGGCUAAAUACGUGCCAGCAGCCGCGGUAAUACGUAUGGGGCGAGCGUUUUCCGGAAUUAUUGGGCGUAAAGGGUACGUAGGCGGUCUAUUAAGUCAGGUGUGAAAGCGUGAGGCUUAACCUCAUUAAGCACUUGAAACUGAUAGACUUGAGUGAAGGAGAGGAAAGUGGAAUUCCUAGUGUAGCGGUGAAAGGCGUAGAUAUUAGGAGGAAUACCGGUGGCGAAGGCGACUUGCUGGACUAUUACGGACGCUCAGGUACGAAAGCGUGGGGAGCAAACAGG